GGGAAAACUGAGGCCCAGAGAAUAAAAUAAGCUGCCCAAAGUCACACAGCUGGUUUGCCGUGAAGUGUGCUGUAAUCUUUGCCAGGGGUGUGCUGCUCUCUCCCAGGAGGGUUCACAGCCCGGGAGGAACACUUCAGACUGCUUAACGACUUGCUCGGGCCUUGCCUUAUAUGGAAUUUUUCCUUCUGCACAAGAGAAUGACAACCACUUAGAGUGACAGCCAGCAGGGAACAGAUGACAGCCAAAAAUCCACUGUGCUCUUGGUCCCAGGAUGUCCUAUCUGACUUGAACUUUUGCUGUUUAGGCUUGCUCUCUGAUAAUGAAUUUGGGAAUGCCAACAGGUUUGGAGGAAUAGGAGUCACUUAGAAAAGCUAGCCAGAUAACUCCAUUUUAGAAAGCAUGGGGGAAUGUCUUUCCCAUUAAUCCUGGUAAGUUAGUUAACAAGCACAGGGCACAAUAGGUCCCCAAAUAAAUGGAAGAAAUGGUGCAAAAUGCAAGCUACAAAGUAGGUGUUUGAUCAUACACAUUCAUAUUUUAUUAUUUAAUUUGAUUCAAUCUUAGGGUCAGAGCUAACAGAAAUAAAUAUAUUUAUUAUUAUUAUUGAUCAAUAAUUAUUAGAACCAUAAAGAAGUGUCCUCACACUCAGAGUCUAGUGUGCUAGCCCAGUAGAGAGACACCAAUGAUAUCCCCAGGAGGUGGAAGGGAGGUUGGUGUGGAUCUGGUUCAGGCACUGCUGUAAAUGCUUUAGAUCUACUGUCUCAGUGAAUCAUCACCACAACCCUAUGAGAUAGUCCUAUUUUAUCUUCAUUUUGCAGAUGAGGAAACUAAGGCACAGGGAGACUAAGAAACUUGCCCAAAGUCACACAGCUAGGUGUGGCUAGAUGUGGCUUCUAGUUGGCAGCAGCCUAGAGUUCAAAUACAGGCAGUCUUGCUCUAUGAAGAUUUUAACAGGCACAGGUGGAAGAGGGCAGUGCGUGUGGCAGAGAUGUCAGCAAGAACAUGAGAAAGGCAUGGAGUAGAGAACAGGGACAUGUCCAGUUGGAUUGGAGUAUGGGUAAGAGGGUUGGAGGAAAAUUACACCAUAAACACAAGCUACUGCCAUAUUGUGGAGGGCCAUGAAUGCUG
rnacentral:lncRNA from 1 species